rnacentral:rRNA from 1 species
UACGUAGGGUGCGAGCGUUAAUCGGAAUUACUGGGCGUAAAGCGCACGUAGAUGGCUUCGUAAGUCGGAUGUGAAAUCCCCGGGCUCAACCUGGGAACUGCAUUCGAAACUGCAUUGCUAGAGUGUGGAAGAGGGAAGCGGAAUUCCAGGUGUAGCGGUGAAAUGCGUAGAUAUCUGGAGGAACAUCAGUGGCGAAGGCGGCUUCCUGGUCCAACACUGACAUUCAGGUGCGAAAGCGUGGGGAUCAAACAGG